rnacentral:rRNA from 1 species
UACAGAGGCCCCCAAGCAUUAUCCGGAUUCACUGGGCGUAAAGGGUGCGUAGGCGGUGUUAUUAGUCGGGUGUUAAAUCCUGGGGCUCAACCUCAGAAUCGCAUUCGAAACGGUAACACUAGAAGAAGUCAGAGGUAAACAGAACUCUCGGUGUAGGGGUGAAAUCCGUUGAUAUCGAGGGGAAUACCAAAUGCGAAGGCAGUUUACUGGGACUUUCUUGACGCUGAGGCACGAAAGCGUGGGUAGCGAAUCGGAUUAGAAACCCCGGUAGU